UACAGAGGGUGCGAGCGUUGUUCGGAAUUAUUGGGCGUAAAGGGCGCGUAGGCGGUGCGGUAAGUCACCUGUGAAAUCUCCUGGCUCAACUGGGAGCUUGCAGGCGAAACUGCCGUGCUGGAGUGUGGGAGAGGUGCGUGGAAUUCCUGGUGUAGCGGUGAAAUGCGUAGAUAUCGGGAGGAACACCAGUGGCGAAGGCGGCGACCUGGGCCAAUACUGACGCUGAGGUGCGAAAGCGUGGGGAGCAAACAGG
rnacentral:rRNA from 1 species